UUUAGUAAAAGAAACAUGUUAUAUACUCUGGCUGAAUCAAUUUAAGUCACAUUCAAACUCUGUGUAUUUUGAGCUAAAAUAAGAACAAAGGGAAAAAUUGUGAAGAAACAAAUUCUUUUAGCUAAUUAGCUUACGGUGGCAUUUUUGUCAAUUUACAAAAGAAAAGCAUGUGUUAGAAGUGGAGCGAAAGUACCACUAAGGUGAUGACUCGGAUGCUGUGAAUUAUGAAAGCUACUUUUAAACAGAAACCUCACUUGCAUGGCAUGAUGGCCUUUUAGAAUAUGUCUAGGUAGGUCAUCCUUUUAUAUAGUUUACUUUUGAAGUUAUGUUCUGUAAUGGCUGGUUGAAUGCCUUCUGGACUGGCACAUAGCUGAAAGCACUUUUUAAAUUUUUUAGAUUUUAUCAAGGUUGUACGAUUGCUUAGCCUAGCUUCCAUUGCCAUCUUCUGUUGUAAGCUUGUAUUUUAUGUACCUCAUUUCGGUAAAUUUGGAAGAACUUUCAAGGAUCUGGCUGUCAAUUAAUAAAUCGAAUAAUAUAAGCAAUGAUUUAGUAGGUGUCCAUGUUAAAUGUCAAUUUUAUGGUUAGUGAUGCCAUUACGUGAUAGCAUGGUUUGAUUAAUCAAUAAUUUUAAUAUUAUUCACAGAAAAUUAUAAAAUCAUAUACGGGUUCGGAUAAUGAUAGGAUCUGUUUCAAAAGUUGUAUGGCAGCAAGGAUGUAACCAGAAUCAUCUAUGAGAUCAUGAAUCGAAAGGUCACUCACUCUAUGGAACAUAUCCUACUCUUGCUUGCUUUAAUUUGAGCCUUUAUCUUUGCUUAUUUAUGGCGUGGCGGCCGCUGCCUUGUGCCACAAAAUAAAGAUAUACAUGGCCAUUAAAGUGAAGUUUCAAAAAGUUCGAACAGUGCUUGCUUAGCUUGGCAUUUGUCACAAAAGCGGUAAGCUUUCAUACAUUCUUACAUAUGAUAUUAUCAAUAAGUUGCUUCCAGAUUUAGUCGUUCACUUACCAGUAAAGUGUUAUUGUCUUAUCAUUAUUUUUCUUUUGACGGUUAGAACUUAAAACAGAAAGAAUUAGGUGGCGUUUGUUUUUUUAUCUGAAAUCUGAAUAGAUCUGAAUUAGUCUGAAUUUUGAAUAGGUCUGAAUGUCUGAAUCUGAAUAAUAUGUUUAUUUUUUCGUUUGAAUUUCGAAAAAUAAGUAUUAAGUUUUUUUUUCAACUUA
rnacentral:lncRNA from 1 species